UACGUAGGGGGCAAGCGUUGUCCGGAAUCAUUGGGCGUAAAGCGCGUGUAGGCGGUUCGCAAAGUCUGGUGUGAAAACUUAGGGCUCAACCCUAAGCCUGCACUGGAUACUGGCGGACUUGAGUCCGGAAGAGGAGAGUGGAAUUCCUGGUGUAGCGGUGGAAUGCGCAGAUAUCGAGAGGAACACCUGCGGCGAAGGCGGGUUGCUGGGCUGACACUGACGCUGAAGUGCGAAAGCUAGGGGAGCGAACGGG
rnacentral:rRNA from 1 species